GGCACAGCUCCUGCUUAUCCCGAGACAGGUAGCCAAAGGCGGUUACUCACAGACAUGACAAAGGCGUCGC
rnacentral:ncRNA from 1 species